ACAUGCACAGCUGCAUUUUCUCAUGUAGUUCAUUAACACGUGCUGGUAUGCAUGUAGACACAAACAUGUGCACUAUAUAAAGGGACGGAAUAUAUUGUCGAAGUUGUCACUAAGAAACACUAGGACAGGAAAACAAACCCGUUUAACAAUGAAAUACAUCUUUGCUCUCUUGGUUUUGUUGCCAAUUGUGUUCUGUGCCCCCAACGAAAGAUUCAUUUUGGAUACUUUUGGACUUGACAGUGUAUUGAAGCAAGUCGAGGUGUUUGCCCACUCAGGUAUGGCACCAGAUCUCUGCACAAGUGAAUGCCAAAAACUCGUUCACGGAUUCCUUGGAAGCAUGUGCGGAACAGCUUGUACAACUGUCCUCAACUUACUGAAGUAGGAGACUAACAUGAUCGUUUGAAUACAAGUGAACAAUGUAA